rnacentral:rRNA from 1 species
GGGGGAUAACUAUUGGAAACGAUAGCUAAUACCGCAUAACAAUAGGUGACACAUGUCAUUUAUUUGAAAGGGGCAAUUGCUCCACUACAAGAUGGACCUGCGUUGUAUUAGCUAGUAGGUGAGGUAACGGCUCACCUAGGCGACGAUACAUAGCCGACCUGAGAGGGUGAUCGGCCACACUGGGACUGAGACACGGCCCAGACUCCUACGGGAGGCAGCAGUAGGGAAUCUUCGGCAAUGGGGGCAACCCUGACCGAGCAACGCCGCGUGAGUGAAGAAGGUUUUCGGAUCGUAAAGCUCUGUUGUAAGUCAAGAACGAGUGUGAGAGUGGAAAGUUCACACUGUGACGGUAGCUUACCAGAAGGGACGGCUAACUACGUGCCAGCAGCCGCGGUAAUACGUAGGUCCCGAGCGUUGUCCGGAUUUAUUGGGCGUAAAGCGAGCGCAGGCGGUUUGAUAAGUCUGAAGUUAAAGGCUGUGGCUCAACCAUAGUUCGCUUUGGAAACUGUCAAACUUGAGUGCAGAAGGGGAGAGUGGAAUUCCAUGUGUAGCGGUGAAAUGCGUAGAUAUAUGGAGGAACACCGGUGGCGAAAGCGGCUCUCUGGUCUGUAACUGACGCUGAGGCUCGAAAGCGUGGGGAGCGAACAGGAUUAGAUACCCUGGUAGUCCACGCCGUAAACGAUGAGUGCUAGGUGUUGGAUCCUUUCCGGGAUUCAGUGCCGCAGCUAACGCAUUAAGCACUCCGCCUGGGGAGUACGACCGCAAGGUUGAAACUCAAAGGAAUUGACGGGGGCCCGCACAAGCGGUGGAGCAUGUGGUUUAAUUCGAAGCAACGCGAAG